rnacentral:tRNA from 2 species
GGCGCCGUGGCUUAGUCGGUUAAAGCGCCUGUCUAGUAAACAGGAGAUCCCCGGUUCGAAUCCGGGCGGUGCCU